GCCAGGGUAGCUCAGCGGUUAGAGCACGUAAAACACCCUAGUCAGCGUUCUCCCUUCGGGGCAGUGAGUACGAGGGUUACUUCCCUUUCACGGACGUGGUCACGGGUUCGAAUCCCGUUCCUGGCG
rnacentral:tRNA from 1 species